rnacentral:rRNA from 1 species
GACGAACGCUGGCGGCGUGCUUAACACAUGCAAGUCGAACGGUGAAGCGCCUUCCUUUUUGGUGGGUGUGGAUGAGUGGCGAACGGGUGAGUAACACGUGAGUAACCUGCCCCCUUCUUCUGGAUAACCGCAUGAAAGUGUGGCUAAUACGGGAUAUUCUGGGUCUGUCGCAUGAUGGGUCUGGGAAAGAUAUUGUUUCGGUGGGGGAUGGGCUCGCGGCCUAUCAGCUUGUUGGUGGGGUGAGGGCCUACCAAGGCGGUGACGGGUGGCCGGCCUGAGAGGGUGGCCGGUCACACUGGGACUGAGACACGGCCCAGACUCCUACGGGAGGCAGCAGUGGGGAAUAUUGCACAAUGGGCGCAAGCCUGAUGCAGCGACGCCGCGUGAGGGAUGGAGGCCUUCGGGUUGUGAACCUCUUUCGCCAGUGAAGCAGGCCUGCCUCGUUUGUGGGUGGGUUGACGGUAGCUGGAUAAGAAGCGCCGGCUAACUACGUG